UGGGAUGGUUUAUUAAUAAAGCAGAAGA
rnacentral:piRNA from 1 species